UCCCACUUAUAACAAGGUAAAUUUUAAAUUAGAUUUUACAAUUAUUACAUAGAUUUAAAAUAUAAUUGUAUGCUAAAAAUUUAUUUAAUUAGGUGGAACCAUUCGGCGAGUUAUGUUAGAAUACCUACAUCUCUUGAAGAUAUACGGCUUCUAUUAGACCACGGUCGGAAGCACAAUUUCAAUGGACACCAUACGAGGAUCCGGCAAUUCGGGCAGUAAUUCCGGAUGAAUUAUUUUAAAAUCCAAACGUUUGGCACGUAAAGGUCCCAUUGGUCAACUAUGCUAUCGUGGAGAUGCACCAGUCAGAUCGAGUAUUGCAGCAAUUUGGCUUCCGACAACCGAUUCCCGUGGUACCUGAGGUGCUUGAUGAUGAGCACAAAAUGAACUUACGGCAAUUGCAUACGGAUUGGCCGAGAUUCCACUCAGCAUAUAUCGAAAUGUGGGAGAAUCGAUAUAAUUAUAUACCUACUCAGGAACCGAUCAUCUUCCUCAGUUAGCGUGCGUGCCGGAAUACAUGCCAUGGUUUAGGAUCCAUGGGAAGCCAUAUUUACUGUCCGAAGAAGAAAGGCGACGACAAAUUCGUGUUCAAAGGAAAUGACGAGGCCCUUUAAAUCCAAGAAGAAGGGAUAACGACCCGAGCCCAUCAACAAUGCCCAUACAAUCAGCUGGCCCAUCAAUAGCGCCCACACAAUCACCGGGCCUAACACUUCAACCGACGACACCCAUAUCACAGCCUAUUCAGAUUAUGCCAGGUGUGUAUCCUAGCCCUUAUAUAUAUCCUAACCCUUAAAUGUUUCCAGUUCUAUAGAAGGUUGAAAUGCAUGGCCCGGUUCAUCUCCGUUCCCAAUUACUUCGAAUCAGCCGCCGAUCUAUAGGCCGUCGUCGCACGAGGAGCCGUCGGGGAGGUCUUCUUUUUACCAAUCUCCAUCGCCUUGUGGGAUUCAAACACCUCUGCCAUGGGUGAUGCAAACACCUCCGCAGUCAUUAUUCUAUCAAGGUGGCUCAUCCUCCCAACACUCACAACUAGAUCUCCAGCCGGAUGAACCACAAUCCCCGCCAGAGCAACCAGAACCCUCUCUGGAACCUGAACCAAGGAGGAAUCUAGCGCCUAACCGUCGACGACCCCCAUGUGGCACUGAUUCCGACCGGCACCAACAUUGAUUUUUUUAAUAUACUUGUAAAAACUUUUUUAUAUUCUUUCAUUUAAUAAAAUAAAAGUUUUUUUUAA